rnacentral:rRNA from 1 species
GAUGAACGCUGGCGGCGUGCCUAAUACAUGCAAGUCGAGCGAACGGACGAGAAGCUUGCUUCUCUGAUGUUAGCGGCGGACGGGUGAGUAACACGUGGAUAACCUACCUAUAAGACUGGGAUAACUUCGGGAAACCGGAGCUAAUACCGGAUAAUAUUUUGAACCGCAUGGUUCAAAAGUGAAAGACGGUCUUUCUGUCACUUAUAGAUGGAUCCGCGCUGCAUUAGCUAGUUGGUAAGGUAACGGCUUACCAAGGCAACGAUGCGUAGCCGACCUGAGAGGGUGAUAGGCCACACUGGAACUGAGACACGGUCCAGACUCCUACGGGAGGCAGCAGUAGGGAAUCUUCCGCAAUGGGCGAAAGCCUGACGGAGCAACGCCGCGUGAGUGAUGAAGGUCUUCGGAUCGUAAAACUCUGUUAUUAGGGAAGAACAUAUGUGUAAGUAACUGUGCACAUCUUGACGGUACCGAAUCAGAAAGCCACGGCUAACUACGUG